GGGGGUGAAUGGUCUCGACUUCGGUCGGGUGACCAGGGGAAGCGAGCCGAGGAAGGCAACGAUGAGCUCGUUAACCAUCCGUUGCAAAAAACACAAGCGCCGAUUCCAAUCGCGCUGACUACGCUCUCGCUGCCUGACGGUAGCUAGGCGUGUCUGUCAGUCCGGGUUCGUCAUCGGCCCGGGUCCUGGCAUCAGCUAGAUGACUCACCGCACGUGCCGGUCGCGGGCACGUGCGGGACAUCGAACAGCGACUGGGCCCGUCACGUCGACUUGUCUGCAUGAUCGACGGGGUCGAGCAGAGGCACCGCAGACUGCGCUCGGAGAAGCCCUGGUGAUGCGUCGAAGGACGCGGGUUCGAUUCCCGCCACCUCCACCC
rfam:Blastococcus saxobsidens DD2 complete genome